UACGGAGGGGACUAGCGUUGUUCGGAAUUACUGGGCGUAAAGCGCACGUAGGCGGAUUUGUUAGUCAGGGGUGAAAUCCCGAGGCUCAACCUCGGAACUGCCUUUGAUACUGCAAAUCUCGAGUCCGGAAGAGGUGAGUGGAAUUCCCGGUGUAGCGGUGAAAUGCGCAGAUAUCGGGAGGAACACCAAUGGCGAAGGCAGCUCGCUGGGACGGUACUGACGCUGAGGCGCGAAAGCGUGGGGAGCAAACAGGG
rnacentral:rRNA from 1 species